rnacentral:lncRNA from 1 species
GUGCGUGUGUGGUUGGACUAGACUACUUGGCGUGGCAAGGAUAGGAUGUUACGCAGUUCUUAUUUACAACCCAGUGUGCUUUGCCCUGACCCGUGGAAUGUUUUCAUCUCGAUCAGUCAGAAUACCGUCUAACAGUGAAUCUGGGAUGACGAGCAACCACAACACUGCAAAGAUAAACUGGAGCAGAGAGGAGGAUUAUCAUUAGACUGCGGGUUGCCGAGCACCCUGCCAGCUGACCUACCUCACUUCCCCACUUAGAUUGAGAUGUCAUACGGAGGAGCAUGCUGGGAAUUGUGGUCUGUGUUAAAGUGUGUCAGGC